rnacentral:lncRNA from 1 species
GAUGUCUCACACCAUUUUGCUGAUACAGACUACCAAGAGGCCAGAAGGCAGAACUUAUGCUGACUACGAAUCUGUGAAUGAAUGCAUGGAAGGCGUUUGUAAAAUGUAUGAAGACAUGUGAAAAGAAUGAAUCCCAACAGUCCCUCUAUCAAAUAUGACAUCAGUCAGUUGUUUGAUUUCAUCAAUGAUCUGGCAGACCUCAGCUGCCUGGUUUACCGAGCUGAUACCCAGACAUACCAGCCUUAUAAAAAAAGACUGGAUUAAAGAGAAGAUCUACAUGCUUCUUCAUCGGCAGGCUCAACAGGCUGAU